rnacentral:rRNA from 1 species
ACUCCUACGGGAGGCAGCAGUAGGGAAUCUUCCACAAUGGGCGCAAGCCUGAUGGAGCAACACCGCGUGAGUGAAGAAGGGUUUCGGCUCGUAAAGCUCUGUUAUUAAAGAAGAACACGUAUGAGAGUAACUGUUCAUACGUUGACGGUAUUUAACCAGAAAGUCACGGCUAACUACGUGCCAGCAGCCGCGGUAAUACGUAGGUGGCAAGCGUUAUCCGGAUUUAUUGGGCGUAAAGAGAGUGCAGGCGGUUUUCUAAGUCUGAUGUGAAAGCCUUCGGCUUAACCGGAGAAGUGCAUCGGAAACUGGAUAACUUGAGUGCAGAAGAGGUAGUGGAACUCCAUGUGUAGCGGUGGAAUGCGUAGAUAUAUGGAAGAACACCAGUGGCGAAGGCGGCUACCUGGUCUGCAACUGACGCUGAGACUCGAAAGCAUGGGUAGCGAACAGGAUUAGAUACCCCUGGUAGGAUAGCG